UAUACAGUCCAGAGAGCCCUGCUCUAAAUCAUAUGACAUUAACUGUGUAGUAGAUCACACGCUACUGUACAGUUUUGAGAGCCCUUGCUUUGAAUCACACAAAGAAUCUAAUAAUUGAAUUCCCCAACAUCCUAUUACAGUUCUAUGCUUAUAACCAGAAUGUAAUCCUAACCCCAUCUUGUAUGAAGAGCUGACAUCUCAGAUUCUGACUUGACAUGAUUCCUCUGACUGCCACGAAUUCAUAGCUUCGAACCGUGCAUUGUUUGGAGCUCAAACAAUCGAGUUACGCUCCAAUUACUUCUUUACAACAUUCUGAAACUUGCAGUGGCAGACUCGUCCGCCAAGAUUGGCAUAUUAAAGAUCGAUCCCAGAAUAUUAUACUGAUGUCAAGUUAGUCAUCUAAUUUCCAGAAACUACAACUCAAUCCUUGAACUUUAUAAAAGCUACAUAAAGAUCACUUAACUUUUGGCUCUUCCAGAUCAGUCACCGAACUUCUCUCAAGUUGCGGGACGAUCACUCUCUUCGGCAAAUGCCCAGAAUCCGGAGAGACCAUAACUCGGCCACGCGCCAAAAGCACCACCUAGGAAUCUUCAUUUUCCUCCUUCCGAUUGUCCGCCUUGAUUUCCGAUCACAAGGAUCGUCAUCUGGCCGCCAUCACCGCUCGAUCUUCUCCUCCGAUAUGUGCAGGGUCGUCGCUGCCGUCACCAGCUCCUAGCCACCGAUCAUUCAUCCUCGAAUCUUCACGACGAGUCCUUCUCGAGCCUUGAAGACCAACAACUCUCACGAUCGGCUAGAUCUCCAUCGCUGGUCGUCCUGGAUUAAUUGCAAAUCGGCGCCAAUGAACUCUUUUUCUGCAUGAUUUUCUGUUCCCUGGAGAUGGGAAGA
rnacentral:lncRNA from 1 species